CGACACCGGCAUUGACUGCAAGGCUAACACCAUCUGCUGUCACCGCACAGCUGGCACAAAGUGUCACGGAUCGUUGUACUUCGCUAAGCAUGAAAGUCAGCGCUACGUCCUCGCCGACGCAAGCGCGACUGAGGCACUCGAGUGACUUCACUUUCCAUCAGAGCGGAGUCAAACGUGGAGUCAUAGAUGCCGACUAGUCCUCCAAUCCAGUAACCUCGGGCUCCGAUCGCCCCGUCGGGGUCAGCGGUCGACGCGUCCGUCCACGACUUGAUCCAGAGCUGCUGCGUUGCCUGGGCCGCGGCUGAAGCUGCUAGCACGACAACUCCCGCUAAUGCUGGCCAUUGGGUGAAACGGACGAGGCCCACGAGAAGCUGCCAGAAGGUCUGUGAGAAGAGCAAGCGACCAUGAACUGCACACAGAGUCCAGGACAGCGUCGAGCAAGUUAACCGCAAGCAGGCACUUGACCUCUGCCUUCCGCCAGCUGAGCACAUUCGCCUGUAGGGCAUCUUCCCAUGCGUACAUCUUCACGACGCGGAUGUUGC